GCACUGCUGAAGAGUCCAGUUCUAGGACGAAACGACCGUCCAGUGC
rnacentral:hammerhead_ribozyme from 1 species